rnacentral:rRNA from 1 species
ACUAGGCAAAAUGGUACCGUAACUUCGGGAGAAGGUACGCUGUUGUUGGUGAUGGAACUCGCUUCCUGAGCUGACGACAGCCGCAGAAACCAGGCCGCUGCAACUGUUUAUUAAAAACAUAGCACUCUGCAAACACGAAAGUGGACGUAUAGGGUGUGAUGCCUGCCCGGUGCUGGAAGGUUAAUUGAUGGGGUUAGCGUAAGCGAAGCUCUUGAUCGAAGCCCCAGUAAACGGCGGCCGUAACUAUAACGGUCCUAAGGUAGCGAAAUUCCUUGUCGGGUAAGUUCCGACCUGCACGAAUGGCAUAAUGAUGGCGGCGCUGUCUCCAGCAGAGGCUCAGUGAAAUCGAAAUCGCUGUGAAGAUGCAGUGUACCCGCGGCUAGACGGAAAGACCCGUGAACCUUUACUGCAGCUUGACACUGAACUUUGACCUUACUUGUGUAGGAUAGGUGGGAGGCUUUGAAGCUGGAACGCUAGUUCCAGUGGAGCCGUCCUUGAAAUACCACCCUGGUAAUGUUGAGGUUCUAACUCUGUCCCGUGAUCCGGGACGAGGACCGUGUCUGGUGGGUAGUUUGACUGGGGCGGUCUCCUCCUAAAGAGUAACGGAGGAGUACGAAGGUGCGCUCAGCGUGGUCGGAAAUCACGCGUAGAGUAUAAAGGCAAAAGCGCGCUUAACUGCGAGACCCACAAGUCGAGCAGGUACGAAAGUAGGUCUUAGUGAUCCGGUGGUUCUGUAUGGAAGGGCCAUCGCUCAACGGAUAAAAGGUACUCUGGGGAUAACAGGCUGAUACCGCCCAAGAGUUCAUAUCGACGGCGGUGUUUGGCACCUCGAUGUCGGCUCAUCUCAUCCUGGGGCUGAAGCAGGUCCCAAGGGUAUGGCUGUUCGCCAUUUAAAGAGGUACGCGAGCUGGGUUUAGAACGUCGUGAGACAGUUCGGUCCCUAUCUACCGUGGGCGCUGGAAAUUUGAGAGGAUCUGCUCCUAGUACGAGAGGACCAGAGUGGACGAACCUCUGGUGUACCGGUUGUGACGCCAGUCGCAUCGCCGGGUAGCUAUGUUCGGAAGGGAUAACCGCUGAAAGCAUCUAAGCGGGAAGCCUACCUCAAGAUAAGAUUUCCCUAGGACUUUAUGUCCUCUAAAGAGCCGUUCGAGACUAGGACGUUGAUAGGUUGGAUGUGGAAGCAUAGUGAUAUGUGAAGCUGACCAAUACUAAUUGCUCGUGAGGCUUGACUAUACAACACCCAAGCAGUUG